rnacentral:lncRNA from 1 species
GGCAGACUCAGAAUAUAACCAGGGAUAAGCAGGAAAUCUCUCUCUUCUUUCCCCUUUCUUCUCUGUGGAGCUGCCAUGUGAUCACGGGUAUCUGAUAUGUGGCCCCUGUGAAAGGGUCAUCCGACUCCAAAGGGGUUGAGACCCACAAGUUGAGAACUGCUGAUUUAGGCACCGUAGCCCUGCAGGUGCUUCUGGAUGGGUGUGCACUGUGAUCAGUUACCUACUGGAUUUGGUGGAAAGGAUCCAUUAUCUAAGGCCCACACAACACAGGAUACAGAGACAUCCAGAAAAAUGACACCAAAGGAAGAGACAUCUGGAGGGAUGUCUCAGACUAUCCUUGAAUGACAGGUGUCAGUCAUCUCCAAGGAAAGAGAUGAUAAAGAAAAGCAUUUGAAUCUAACUUAAAAGGGAAGAGCACUUAAAGCUCCAUCUGAAAGAUCUUCACAGCCAUAGGAGAUGAAAACAGAAACGUCUGUCUGCAGCCGCUGAUGGCUGAGGAUGACAGAGAGGAUGUUCAUUAGCAGAGACAGCUAACGCUCUGUGUAUGUCAGAGGCAGAAGACUGGAAACCUCUGGGAGGCCAUGUACAAGUAGGAAAACAUGGUAGAUAAGAGACACGACCUUCAGUUUCCAUUCUGCAGAUUAAACAAUGGAAGCCUCCCAUGAGGCCAAGUGUCACCUCUUCAUUGUUAAUUUCGGCUGCUGCUGUAUCCUGCUGAACAAGGGUCUACCCACACUCCUCUAGGGUUUAAUCUACUGCUUUGGGAGUGUGUCUUACGGGUAUGAUCUUCAUAGUUAGAUGGCUCUGGACCUGUUAACAAUGGGGAAACUAGUUUGGAAAUACCAGGCUGUUUCAGUGUUGUAGUCUGAGUGUGAAAUGGUACACACAUGUGUUUGAACACUUGGGGAACCUGUGGGCAGAGGGGCUUCCCAGGGGAAGUUGGCCACUGGGAGCAGGCCAUGAGGUUUUGUAGUUCAGCAGCAGCACUUCCCGGUCUCCGGUCUCCUCUCUGCUUCUGGGAUGUGAGCACCGUGUGACCAGCGGCCUGCCAUUCCUGCCUUAAGGAAACAGGCCUUUCUUAGUCUGAGUUGCUUUUGUCUGGCAUUUUGUCACAACACUGAGAAAAGUUACUGAGAAAUGAUGCCUUAGCUUUGACUCAAUGGUAUGUGAGAAGUGAGGGCUGGCUCUUCACCAUAUGGAUGACAGGAGAGAAACGAGGAGCAGUCUAAAGUUCAGGACCGUCUCCACCCAUCUCUAGAACUUCUGGAAUACACCAGUACGACUAACCUGGGCAUGCUUCUCACUUUCUCACCCUUAAUCCUGUCUGACAAAAGAAAACCUUCACAUUCUUGAGGUAAAUACUUUUAGUGGGAGCCACAAAGACUGUUAAUAGCAACAAAGAAACACCCGAGCUUUGGAGGAAAAAAAAAAAAAAAAACACCCCAAAACCCUAAAACCAAAACUAAACCAAAAACAACAAACAAAUAGGUUUACUGAAUGUACCUGCCUGAUGCCUUGGUUAGUAUUUUGUU